rnacentral:rRNA from 1 species
AUACGAAGGGUGCAAGCGUUACUCGGAAUUACUGGGCGUAAAGCGUGCGUAGGUGGUUGUUUAAGUCUGUCGUGAAAGCCCUGGGCUCAACCUGGGAACUGCGAUGGAAACUGGGCGACUAGAGUGUGGUAGAGGGUAGCGGAAUUCCUGGUGUAGCAGUGAAAUGCGUAGAUAUCAGGAGGAACAUCCAUGGCGAAGGCAGCUACCUGGGCCAACACUGACACUGAGGCACGAAAGCGUGGGGAGCAAACAGGAUUAGAUACCCUGGUAGUCCACGCUCUAAACGAUGCGAACUGGAUGUUGGGUGCACUUUGGCACGCAGUAUCGAAGCUAACGCGUUAAGUUCGCCGCCUGGGGAGUACGGUCGCAAGACUGAAACUCAAAGGAAUUGACGGGG